GUCCACGCCCUAAAACGAUGUCGACUGGUUGUUGGGGGUUUGACACUCUCAGUAACGAAGCUAACGCGUUAAGUCGACCGCCUGGGGAGUACGGCCGCAAGGUUAAAACUCAAAGGAAUUGACGGGGACCCGCACAAGCGGUGGAUUAUGUGGAUUAAUUCGAUGCAACGCGAAAAACCUUACCUACCCUUGACAUGUCCGAGAGCCCGCAGAGAUGUGGGUGUGCCCGAAAGGGAAUCGGAACACAGGUGCUGCAUGGCUGUCGU
rnacentral:rRNA from 1 species